UGGGGAAUAUUGCACAAUGGGCGCAAGCCUGAUGCAGCCAUGCCGCGUGUAUGAAGAAGGCCUUCGGGUUGUAAAGUACUUUCAGCGGGGAGGAAGGUGUUGAGGCUAAUAACCUCAGCAAUUGACGUUACCCGCAGAAGAAGCACCGGCUAACUCCGUGCCAGCAGCCGCGGUAAUACGGAGGGUGCAAGCUUUAAUCGGAAUUACUGGGCGUAAAGCGCACGCAGGCGGUCUGUCAAGUCGGAUGUGAAAUCCCCGGGCUCAACCUGGGAACUGCAUUCGAAACUGGCAGGCUAGAGUCUUGUAGAGGGGGGUAGAAUUCCAGGUGUAGCGGUGAAAUGCGUAGAGAUCUGGAGGAAUACCGGUGGCGAAGGCGGCCCCCUGGACAAAGACUGACGCUCAGGUGCGAAAGCGUGGGGAGCAAACA
rnacentral:rRNA from 1 species